UACGUAGGGUGCAAGCGUUUAAUCGGAAUUACUGGGCGUAAAGCGUGCGCAGGCGGUUAUGCAAGACAGAGGUGAAAUCCCCGGGCUCAACCUGGGAACUGCCUUUGUGACUGCAUAGCUAGAGUACGGUAGAGGGGGAUGGAAUUCCGCGUGUAGCAGUGAAAUGCGUAGAUAUGCGGAGGAACACCGAUGGCGAAGGCAAUCCCCUGGACCUGUACUGACGCUCAUGCACGAAAGCGUGGGGAGCAAACAGG
rnacentral:rRNA from 1 species